CUUUCCAGCUCUUCUUUAGAUAUUGUUUUUUAAACACCUGGCUGCUAGUAAUUUCUAUAGGCUUCCAUCAAUGGCAGGUCAUGAAGGAAGGCCUAUCCAAUUGUUAAACUUGAAUUAAAUAUAUCCAAGGUAGGAGGCCUAGAAGCAGUUGAUACCCACAUCUCUGCAUGUGCAAGCCUGGAUGUGUAUUUGGGACAAGAUGUUGUGGAGAAGAGUCAGCUGGCCUAUGUGAUCUGCUGGUACGCAGCCCAAGUCCAAGUGGCCACUCUAUACCUUGAGCACAAAGGAAGAAGAGAGAGUGAACUUCAGGCAGGAAGAAGCAAUAAUGUGUGCGAAGUGGGGGCAGAAGGAAGGGUCCUCCCACUCAACUGAAGAAGUAAGUUAAGAUCUGUCCUUCUAGCCCCCAGUGGGCUGUGUGAAGCAUAAGGAGACAAAUGUAGGAGAGAAAUGAUGGGACAUAAAUACUGUGAACAAUUCUUC
rnacentral:lncRNA from 1 species